CACGUAGGGUGCGAGCGUUGUCCGGAAUUAUUGGGCGUAAAGAGCUCGUAGGCGGUGUGUCGCGUCGGCCGUGAAAACCUGGGGCUUAACUCUGGGCUUGCGGUCGAUACGGGCAUCACUGGAGUUCGGCAGGGGAGACUGGAAUUCCUGGUGUAGCGGUGAAAUGCGCAGAUAUCAGGAGGAACACCGGUGGCGAAGGCGGGUCUCUGGGCCGAUACUGACGCUGAGGAGCGAAAGCGUGGGGAGCGAACAGGG
rnacentral:rRNA from 1 species